UGUAUAAUGUAAUGAUUGAAUGAAUCUUUUUUCUUUUGUGGUGCAUAUAUGAUGUGAGUGACAGGUGUAAAAUCUAAAAUAUAUAAAUAUAAAUGGGGGUCUUUUCAUAGGAAAGUGUUGAAGUUUAAGUCCUGCCAGUUAAUAUUGUCAGGUUGGUGUUGAGCCUUCAUGAUAGAAAGCUUCAAUCGGGAUUUAAUUGAACCUAGUGAACCUAUUUUACCACGUGCAUUUGACUGCUCAAGAAACCUAUUCCAUAAAUUUGCCCCUUUAUAUGCGAAAUUGUGAGAUGAGUGUGGUGUCACAAAUCUGUCAUCUCUGAGCUCAGACUUCUUAAAGAGAGAAUACAUGGAUAUGGGCUGAUGACUCUUCACUAUCUUCAUUGUUUCAGUAAUGCAUCUGUAUCUAUAUAUGUUAUGUACUGUCAUUAGUUCCUUAGAUUGGAAAAUAGGUUUUGUUGAUUCUCUAGAGUGGAAUUCUGCCCCAAGUAUUUGGCAGCGAUGUGGCCUUGCUUGUUUAUCACCAGUCUUCCUCAAGCUGAUACAUAUAGAACACGGUUUAAUGUGAGGUAUAGUUGAUUCAUUGGAUAUUUGACCUUUCUUGUUUAUACUGCACUGGAUUGGCCUGCUACGAGAACAAGUUUUAAACUUGUCGCUAAAUGCUUCCGAGUCCCCAAAUAAGAUUCGGACACAUUUCUUCUGUGCAAGGAAUAGUGGUGAAAGCUUAUUAAUUGAUACACCACCCCAUACAGUUAUACCGUAUCCUAGAUGAGAUUCAAAAAGAGUGUGGUAUAUCUGUUUGUACAGCUGGCUGGGGAGGGAGUUUUUUAUUCGAUAAAUACGGCCACAUAUGCUGUUUAAUUUCUUAGUUAGUUUCUCGAUAUGAGGUGUCCAACUCAGUUUGUCAUCAAUAAUUACACCUAGAAAUUUCGUUUCAGUAACCUGUUUGAUCGGGAUCCCAUCAAUUUCUAGAUUCAAGUCAUUUUCAGUAUUAUCAAUGGUCUUACGUUUAGUAGGCGAGAAGUACAUGUAACAAGAUUUUUUAACAUUAAUGUGCAGUAGGUUAUGGCGCAUAUAUUGGCACACAGAGUCGAGAAUUUCAUUCGCUAUUUUGUAUGCUUGUUCCUUAGUUUCAGCAGCUACAAAGAUGUUUGUGUCAUCUGCAAAUAGUACAAAUUUUCCUAAUGUACUACAUCUAUAGAUGUCAUUUAUAUAGAUAAGAAAAAGCAAGGGGCCCAAAACGGAUCCUUGAGGUACGCCUAGUUUAACUGGGAGAGGCUCUGAUUCUUCACCAAGUACACUAACAUACUGGUAUCUAUUAUUUAGAUAGCUGGAGAGCAGCUUUAGUGCGUUUCCUCUAACUCCGUAAUUACUAAGUUUCUUAAGUAGCAUAUCAAAUGGUAAGGUAUCAAAUGCUUUAGAGAGAUCGAUAAAUAUUCCUAAUACGUGGUUUUUAUUAUUCCGUUUUUCUUCGACGUGAUUUACGGAGUAGUUAAGAGCAUGACUUGUCGAGUGGUUUUUUCUAAAGCCGAACUGAUUUUCGAAUAUUAUUCCUCGAGAUAAGAAAAAGUUGUAUAAUCUACUGUAAAUAAUUUUUUCAAAUAUUUUACCAAAUACUGGUAAUGUUGAUACUGGCCUGUAAUUCUCUAGUAAUUCCUCAUCUUCUUUUUUAUAUAUCGGGGUUAUCUUACCCGUUUUCAGUUGAUCAGGGAAGACACCUUCAUUCAUGCAGUUGUUAUAAAUUCUGGCAAGAUGUUCUGAUAUAGUUUGACUACACUGCUUCAUUACAUGUGCCGGUAUGUCGCUAGCUUUACCGUUAUUAAAUUCACUUAUAAUUUGUAUUAUUUCAGAGCUUGUACAUUCAGCAAGAUAAAUACUUGACGGACAGGACUGUGGCAAGUAGUCAGUGAAUGAUUUAGCAAUUAUAGGAUCUUCAUCAAUCCUCCUCUCAUAGACCUCGUUCAGAUUGGAGGCGAUUGACACAAAGUACUUGUUAAAUUCAUGAGCAAUAACUCGUCGACAAAUAACACGCUCAUUGUUUAUCAUGAAUGACGGUUUCAUUUGCUUAUUUUGCUUUCCUCGCACUUUAUUAAUUAACUGCCAGGUUUUUUUACUGUCACCCUGACACUCCUCAAUUUUGUUGCACGUGUAGAGGCGUUGAGCUAGUCUUAUUACGUGUUUAACUCUCCUACGUUUGUCAGUAAAAUUAGCAUGCUUUUCCCUGGCAUCAUUACAAGGAUUGCAGUGACAGGCUUCCUUGAUCUCACGACAAAGUUUACCUGGAUUAUGCAAACAUUUUUCUCUCUUCGCUUUAUGCCAGUGGUCGUGCAGCUCAUGUUUUUUAUUUAUAGACGCGAUUAAUCCUCCUGUUAUCCACGGAUUUGUCAUUGGCGUUCUUUUGGAGACUUUAGGUUUACUGAGUUUACAUGAUUUGUCUAGAUUCGUUUUGAAUGUGUCGUGAAAUUCAAUAAAGUUUUUUGGUGGGUGCUCAGAGAAAUGUUGGUUUAAGGAUGAAACAAGGACUCGAACGUUGGAUUCACUGUAAUCAUAAUAUUGGGUAUGUUUAACUUGAGGUUCAGAGUUAGUUACAGCUAGGUCUUCAAAAAUAUGAAAAACUGGCAGAUGAUGCGAGAUUCUGUCAGAUACUGUACCUGAGGCAACAACCUUGUUUAUAUCAUUUGUGUAAAUGUUGUCAAUACACGUUUGAUUACAUCCCGGCUUCUCGUGCGUGUGUGUUGAUAUAAGAGGCGAGAAACCGGCACUAAACAUUAUCUCCUCGAGAUUGCUAACUUCUUUACUAUUAACAUGGAGGUUGACGUUAAAAUCUCCCAUUAUAUACGCAGAUUUUUUAGGCAAUAUCUGGAGUAUUCUAGAUAGUUCUGUCAGGAAGCUUGCAAAAUUACCGCUGGGUGGUCGGUAAAUAACCCCAAAAGUUACUUCUUCUGAGUUUUUACGACUAGUUACGAAUAGUGAUUCUAAAUUCUCGGUAACGUCUGACGCAAGUUCGUUCACAAUACUGCUAAGUCUAUCUUGAACAUAUAAUGCUACACCAGUUCCUUUGGAUUUAUUACCUACAGUAUUCUGGUAAAAACUAUUGUAGUUAGGAAUUGAAUACACGGUGCUUUCAUCAGGACCUAUGUUAGUUUCUGAUAAACCUAUUACGGUGAAGUUUUGGUUAAUGCGGUGCAGUUCAGUUAAUAGACUAUCAAAAUUGCUUUUAUUGCCAUCAAUGUUAAGAAAGUAGGAGCUGGAAAACUUUUUAAGAUUUUCUCCAUGCGAUGAGUUGAUUUCAUUAGCAGAAUAAGCUUGGCAUUUGUCUAAGAUUGAGGAUAUUUUAUAUGUUUCGUCAUGUGCAUCUGGUGAGGUUGUGUCAUCUACAAAGUGUUUGAAGGGAUUAUACUUGUGUACUAUUUUAUCUUUGCACGAAAAGCAGUAGAAGUUGUCAUUAAUAAUUUGUGCUUUUGAUUGCGAAAAACACUUUGAGUGGGCAAUACAAUUACAUCUACUGCACUCAAACAUCGGCUGACCUAUGUAAACGUUUUUCAGGCAAUGGUUACAGUUUUCUCUCAAAAUUUUGUUGAUCAUACCUGACGACCAUCAGGACUAGUGCAACAAAUCAAGUCUACCGCGGUUAUCAAGUUUCUUCGACAGCCUCUCAGACAGCAACAUGUUGCGAUCUAAGAAGUCAUCGAGACCGCGGACAUGUGAUACACCCAAACCAGGCUGAUCCAAAUCACGGAAUAUACAUUGUUGAUACCACAAGAUACUACGAUGUUGUUGUAGCCACAGCACCACUCAGGCUUGAUGUCCUCCAUUGUAGCGGCCCAGAACCGUUGACCCGGCA